GCUGGGCGUGGUGGCCCACGCCUGUAAUCCCAUCAAUUUAGGAAGCUGAGGGAGGAGUUAUCACGAGUUCAAAACCAGCCUUAG
rnacentral:sRNA from 1 species